rnacentral:tRNA from 1 species
GCCCGGAUGGCGGAACUGGCAGACGCAGGGGGCUUAAACCCCCCAGCCCCUCGGGGCAUGUGGGUUCGAGUCCCACUCCGGGCACCU